rnacentral:lncRNA from 1 species
GUGCGCCGCGCGCGGCGGCUGUGCUACUCUCGGCCGUUGGAGGGCCUGCUCCUGCCGGAGGAAGGAGGAUCCCGAGUGCCACGUUGCGAGUUCUUGUGGUGUCCGCCUCCUUCCGGACUCACCACCUCAGACAGAGCAAGUUUUUGUUGCAACAGACACAGAAGAGUAAAAAUAUCACCAACUGCUACAAGAAGAAGAGUAAGAGGAAGAAAAUCACAGAGAACUCUAAAAAAAGAGCUGAAAGCGCCCUAACUGACAGAGACAUGCGAUAGUUUUUCAGAAGAAGAUGGAACAGGGCAUUUCUACAGAGACAACAGGUAAAAAGUUCAGAGGAGAUUUGUGUGAUGCAUCAACCUACCACGUGGAACAGAGCUGUGGAGGUGGAAUGAACUUAGAAGCUGAUGGCGGGGACCAAAGGAAAUUAUUCUUGGAAGAAACAGUCCAUCUUCAUGAAUGACCCUUCACCCACAAAAUGUUCUUCUUUUUGAGUUGCCUUUAAUUGCUUUUGUCCCUCCUCAUACUCUCACAGAAAUUCUGUGAGGUUCUGAGAUCGGCUGUCUUCUCUCCACUUUCUCAGGGAGUUCAUUUUCUCCCCAAGCUUCAAGUAUCCUUGAUUUUGUGAAUGAUGUCAAAAAAUAUAAUUCAUUAAUUUAUUUAACCAAUAUCUAUUGUACCUAACAUGUACCAGGAACCAUG